rnacentral:lncRNA from 1 species
CAGCCCGCCUCCGGGAGACGCAGCAGGGUGCAGGGUGCAGGGUGCUGAAGUCGGAGGCAGAACCCACUUCAGCUCAGGCAGCAGUAGAGACGGGGUUUCACCAUGCCGACCAGGCUGAUCUCAAACUCCUGAUCUUAAGUGAUCCUCGCACCUCAGCCUCCCAAAGUGCUGGAAUUACAGAUGUGGGCCACCUCGCCUGGUCUCCAGUGGCAUCUUGUUGAAAUGCCUUCGACGUGGGAGUUAUCUCUAGCAUGCCGACUUGGUAGGAGAGAGAGCCAAGGUCUUGGUUUACUCUGCUGGAAAGUGAGGAUGAUCUUCCUCACAGGGUCUUUAUGGGGAUUCAGUGUGAAGAUCCCCCUGGCACUCAGGAAACAGUGCCACCUCUGA